rnacentral:rRNA from 1 species
AUUGAACGCUGGCGGCAGGCUUAACACAUGCAAGUCGAGCGGGGUGAUGGUGCUUGCACUAUCACUUAGCGGCGGACGGGUGAGUAAUGCUUAGGAAUCUGCCAUUUAGUGGGGGACAACAUUCCGAAAGGAAUGCUAAUACCGCAUACGUCCUACGGGAGAAAGCAGGGGAUCUUCGGACCUUGCGCUAAAUGAUGAGCCUAAGUCGGAUUAGCUAGUUGGUGGGGUAAAGGCCUACCAAGGCGACGAUCUGUAGCGGGUCUGAGAGGAUGAUCCGCCACACUGGGACUGAGAAACGGCCCAGACUCCUACGGGAGGCAGCAGUGGGGAAUAUUGGACAAUGGGCGGAAGCCUGAUCCAGCCAUGCCGCGUGUGUGAAGAAGGCCUUUUGGUUGUAAAGCACUUUAAGCGAGGAGGAGGCUACUAGUACUAAUACUACUGGAUAGUGGACGUUACUCGCAGAAUAAGCACCGGCUAACUCUGUGCCAGCCGCCGCCGUAACAC